UACGUAGGGUGCGAGCGUUAAUCGGAAUUACUGGGCGUAAAGCGUGCGCAGGCGGUUCGCUAAGACCGAUGUGAAAUCCCCGGGCUCAACCUGGGAAUGGCGAUGGUGACUGCAAGGCUAGAGUUUGGCAGAGGGGGGUAGAAUUCCACGUGUAGCAGUGAAAUGCGUAGAUAUGUGGAGGAACACCGAUGGCGAAGGCAGCCCCCUGGGUCAAGACUGACGCUCAUGCACGAAAGCGUGGGGAGCAAACAGG
rnacentral:rRNA from 1 species